rnacentral:rRNA from 1 species
ACCACGUUGCUGUUGAAAAAGCAUGGGAUGAGCUGUGGAUAGCGGAGAAAUUCCAAUCGAACUCGGAUAUAGCUGGUUCUCCUCGAAAUAGCUUUAGGGCUAGCGUCGGAAAAUGUGAGUACUGGGGGUAGAGCACUGAAUGGGCUAGGGGGCAUAGCGCUUACCGAACCUUAUCAAACUCCGAAUACCAGAUACUAUCAGUCCGGCAGUCAGACUGCGAAAGAUAAGUUCCGUAGUCAAAAGGGAAACAGCCCAGAUCGUCAGCUAAGGUCCCAAAGUGUAAGUUAAGUGGAAAAGGAUGUGGGAUUUCUAAGACAACUAGGAUGUUGGCUUAGAAGCAGCCACUCAUUAAAAGAGUGCGUAAUAGCUCACUAGUCAAGAGAUCCUGCGCCGAAAAUGUCCGGGGCUCAAACUUACCACCGAAGCUACGGGUUCACACAUUAGUGUGAGCGGUAGAGGAGCGUCGUAAUCGGGCUGAAGUCGUACCGUAAGGAGCGGUGGACUGAUUACGAGUGAGAAUGUUGGCAUUAGUAGCGAGAUGUGGGUGAGAAUCCCACAGGCCGAAUACCUAAGGUUUCCUCAGGAAGGUUCGUCCGCUGAGGGUUAGUCGGGACCUAAGCUGAGGCCGAAAGGCGUAAGCGAUGGACAAUCGGUUGAUAUUCCGAUACCACUAUUAUCGUUAUUAUCGAUGGUGUGACGGAGAAGGAUAGGAUGUGCUAGCUAUUGGAUGCUAGUCUAAGCGUUUAGGGAGUUAGAAUAGGCAAAUCCGUUCUAACAAUUCUGAGGCGUGAUGGGGAA